GACGAACGCUGGCGGCGUGCUUAACACAUGCAAGUCGAACGGAAAGGCCCUGCUUUUGUGGGGUGCUCGAGUGGCGAACGGGUGAUUAACACGUGAGUAACCUGCCCUUGACUUUGGGAUAACUUCAGGAAACUGGGGCUAAUACCGGAUAGGAGCUCCUGCUGCAUGGUGGGGGUUGGAAAGUUUCGGCGGUUGGGGAUGGACUCGCGGCUUAUCAGCUUGUUGGUGGGGUAGUGGCUUACCAAGGCUUUGACGGGUAGCCGGCCUGAGAGGGUGACCGGCCACAUUGGGACUGAGAUACGGCCCAGACUCAUACGGGAGGCAGCAGUGGGGAAGAUUGCACAAUGGGCGGAAGCCUGAUGCAGCAACGCCGCGUGCGGGAUGACGGCCUUCGGGUUGUAAACCGCUUUCGCCUGUGACGAAGCGUGAGUGACGGUAAUGGGUAAAGAAGCACCGGCUAACUACGUG
rnacentral:rRNA from 1 species